AUGUCAAAAAGAAUUUUUAUCUUAUCAUUUUGCAAAUGAUUAAUAAUUCUUCUCACACA
rnacentral:tRNA from 1 species